rnacentral:rRNA from 1 species
CCUACGGGAGGCAGCAGUGGGGAAUAUUGGUCAAUGGGCGCAAGCCUGACCCAGCAACGCCGCGUGAAGGAAGAAGGCUCUCGGGUUGUAAACUUCUUUUCUCAGGGACGAAGCAAGUGACGGUACCUGAGGAAUAAGCCACGCCUAACUAAGUGCCAGCAGCCGCGGUAAUCCGGAGGUGGCAAGCGUUAUCCGGAUUUACUGGGUGUAAAGGGCGUGUAGGCGGGACUGCAAGUCAGAUGUGAAAACCAUGGGCUCAACCCAUGGCCUGCAUUUGAAACUGUCGUUCUUGAGUACUGGAGAGGCAGACGGAAUUCCUGGUGUAGCGGUGAAAUGCGUAGAUAUUAGGAGGAACACCAGUGGCGAAGGCAGUCUGCUGGACAGCAACUGACGCUGAGGCGCGAAAGCGUGGGGAGCAAACAGGAUUAGAUACCCCAGUAGUC